AAGAUAUAUGAUGGGUUUUUUUCAUUUCUGAUGAUGAAAAUACUUGAUUUAUCCUAUUAUAAAAUAGGAAUAUCAUAUAAUUGUGUUAAAUUGUGCCCUUGCAACAGGUAUUUGUUCAAUUUAUUAACAACUGCAUUUUCUGCAUGUUGUUUUAAUUAGAUUCCCAAACGUGAUCGGUGUCAUAGAUGGGACUCAUGUACAGAUCCAGGCACCAUCUAUUGAUGAACCCAUGUACGUGAACAGAAUGGGUAACCAUUCCAUCAAAACACAGAUUGUGUUUGAUCAUAAUGAUAUGAUAAUGGACGUUGUCGCCAGAUGGCCAGGAAGUACCCACGAUAGCAGAAUCCUUAGAGGAAGUGGGCUGUGGCAAGUUUUCGAAAGAAACCUGCUUCCACAGAAUGACCACUUUCUUUUGGGUGAUAGUGGAUAUCCCUGCAAACGCUGGCUGUUGACGCCUUAUGUAAGACCAGCUAAUAACGCUCAGGAAGCGUAUAACAGGGCACACAAGUUGACAAGGAGCAAGGUUGAUAGGGGCAUGGGACAGCUUAAACGCAGAUGAAUUCUGCAUGGAGAAGUUAGACUUGCUCCAGAAAAAACGUGCAAUGUGAUCAUUGCAUGUGCAGAUAUGCACAACAUCUGCAAGCUGCAUAGUGUACCAGAUUUGAUUAUCUACCGGAAGAUCCUGUGCGCAAUGACGGGAUUCAUGUUGGUCCAGAAGAUGGACUUCGCUUCCGUGAUAUUAUAUGUGAACAGUAUUUUAGAUUGUUAAUUACGGGGGAUAUAGACAAAACAAGACAAAAAUGUGUGUUCAUUUACAUAUGAUAAAGACAAAACAAGUCUUAAAAAUGUGUAUUCAUAUACAUCUGAUUAAGACAAAACAAGUCUUAAAAAUGUGUGUUCAUUUACACCUGAUAAAGACAAAACAGGUCUUAAAUAUGUGUGCUGAAUUAGACAUAGAUGAUUUUAUCACAUGCUAUACCCUGUUUCCCAUGAAAUACAACAAUUACAAAUUUUUUUUUAUUACAUAUGUGUAAUACAACAUUUUUAAGCGUUUUAUUGGCUUAGUUUUCGUUUAUUGACCAAUCGAUUUUUUUAUUUUGCUGAAAUGACGUUGCAACUUCAAAUGACGUCACGAUAUGUAAACAACAUUCGGGAUUUAUCAUUAUGUUUGCGUUAAUAUUUAUUUAGUUUGCUCAUUUAAAAGCAUCUGAUAAAAAAGAUCCGACACUCGUUGUCAUAUCAUACCAUAUUUUAUUCAACUCGUUCAGGAAAUUCGUUAGUAAGCGAGCCUUUGGCUUCCUUUACUCGUUUAAUAAAAUAUGGUAUGAUAUGACAACUCGUGCCAGAUCCUAUAUAUAUAGGUUAGGGGGCCGGGGGACACACAAAACAAGUCUUAAAAAUGUGUGUUCAUUUUCAUCUAAAAGAGACAAAACAAGUCUAUAAAACGUGUGCUGAAUGAGACAUAGCUGAUUAAUAUAGGUUUGGUGGCUGGGGGACAUAGCUGAUAUUAUAGGUUUCAGGGCCAGGGAACAUAGUUGAUGUGAUAGGUUUUGGAGCCAGAAAACAUAGCUGAUAAUAUAGGUUUGGGGGCCGGAGGCCAUCGCUGAUAUUAUUGGUUUGGGGGCCGGGGGACAUAGCUGAUAUGAUAUAAAAACUGUUGUAAAAAAGAUAAUUGAAAAACUAACAAAGAAACACUAACUAAUAGGUCAUUUUACAAUUUAAGUUGUCGCUCAUAAAAAUUUAUCUGCAACUCUAGUGCGCUUGAUUUGGGCUGAAAAAAAGUUCAUGCAUACCUUAUUCAUGCAAUGCUUUAA